GUACACUCCUGCGGGAGGCAGCAGUGGGGAAUAUUGGACAAUGGGCGCAAGCCUGAUCCAGCCAUGCCGCGUGAGUGAUGAAGGCCCUAGGGUUGUAAAGCUCUUUCACCGGUGAAGAUAAUGACGGUAACCGGAGAAGAAGCCCCGGCUAACUUCGUGCCAGCAGCCGCGGUAAUACGAAGGGGGCUAGCGUUGUUCGGAUUUACUGGGCGUAAAGCGCACGUAGGCGGACUAUUAAGUCAGGGGUGAAAUCCUGGGGCUCAACCCCGGAACUGCCUUUGAUACUGGUAGUCUUGAGUUCGAGAGAGGUGAGUGGAAUUCCGAGUGUAGAGGUGAAAUUCGUAGAUAUUCGGAGGAACACCAGUGGCGAAGGCGGCUCACUGGCUCGAUACUGACGCUGAGGUGCGAAAGCGUGGGGAGCAAACAGGAUUAGAAACCCUUGUAGUCCCAUGAU
rnacentral:rRNA from 1 species